rnacentral:rRNA from 1 species
AUUGAACGCUGGCGGCCGGCCUAACACAUGCAAGUCGAGCGAGCGGCGGACGGGUGAGUAAUGUCUGGGAAACUGCCCGAUGGAGGGGGAUAACUACUGGAAACGGUAGCUAAUACCGCAUACCAUCGGAUGUGCCCAGAUGGGAUUAGCGUGUAGGUUGGGUAACGGCUCACCUAGGCAACGAUCCCUAGCUGGUCUGAGCGGAUGACCAGCCACACUGGAACUGCGACACGGUCCAGACUCCUACGGGAGGCAGCAGUGGGGAAUAUUGCACAAUGGGAGAAAGCCUGACGCAGCAAUGCCGCGUGGGUGAGGAAGGUAUUCGGGUCGUAAAGCUCUGUCAUUCGGGAAGCGGUACCUGAUCAGGAAGCAACGGCUAACUCCGUGCCAGCAGCCGGGGUAAUAC